rnacentral:snoRNA from 1 species
CAGUGAAAUGAUAGCAAUCAUCUUUCAGAAAUGACCUGAUAAAAGAAUAUUCAUUGCUGAACACUU